GAAUCUUACGACAGCCCGNGUNAUGUCAUCCNAAAUUGGGNCGUUGGNUUUCAUAGGCUCACACUGAGACGCUCGCUUGUACAGCCUAACACAUGCAAGUCGAACGGCAGCACAGGAGAGCUUGCUCUCUGGGUGACGAGUGGCGGACGGGUGAGGAAUACAUCGGAAUCUACUCUGUCGUGGGGGAUAACGUAGGGAAACUUACGCUAAUACCGCAUACGACCUACGGGUGAAAGCAGGGGAUCUUCGGACCUUUUUUUUUUNGGGGCCCCGGGGCCCCGGGGAAAAAUUUUUUUUCUGGGGGGNAAAAAACACAAAGGUUUUUUUUUGNGGGGGGGCAAAAAAAAGGUGAGGGGGAUAAGAANCCCCCCCCAGANCACCCCCCCACAGGUGUGGCGGGGCACAACAACAAACAGGGGUUUUUUUUUGUGGCGGCGAAUUUUUUUUUCCCCCCCAUUAGGNCAAAGNGGGGGCGCAAAAAACAACAAUUUUUUUUUCUUUUUACAAAAAACGGUNNGAUAACCCCCACCAUUUUUUUUUAAAAAACACGGCGACAAAUUUUUUUUUUUGGGGGCUGGGGGGUCCCCCAUGGGGAAGGGGNAUAG
rnacentral:rRNA from 1 species